GACGGCUGAGUAACGCGUGGGAAUCCACCCCAAAGUGAGGGAUAACGCACCGAAAGGUGUGCUAAUACCGCAUAUGGUUUUCGGAUUAAAGUUUUAACGCUUUGGGAGGAGCCCGCGUCGGAUUAGAUAGUUGGUGAGGUAAUGGCUCACCAAGUCGACGAUCCGUAGCUGGUCUGAGAGGAUGAUCAGCCAGACUGGAACUGAGAUACGGUCCAGACUCCUACGGGAGGCAGCAGUGAGGAAUAUUCCACAAUGGGCGAAAGCCUGAUGGAGCAAUGCCGCGUGCAGGAUGAAGGCCUUCG
rnacentral:rRNA from 1 species